rnacentral:rRNA from 1 species
GAUGAACGCUGGCGGCGUGCCUAAUACAUGCAAGUCGAGCGAACGGACGAGAAGCUUGCUUCUCUGAUGUUAGCGGCGGACGGGUGAGUAACACGUGGAUAACCUACCUAUAAGACUGGGAUAACUUCGGGAAACCGUAGCUAAUACCGGAUAAUAUUUUGAACCGCAUGGUUCAAAAGUGAAAGACGGUCUUGCUGUCACUUAUAGAUGGAUCCGCGCUGCAUUAGCUAGUUGGUAAGGUAACGGCUUACCAAGGCAACGAUGCAUAGCCGACCUGAGAGGGUGAUCGGCCCCACUGGAACUGAGACACGGUCAAGACUCCUACGGGAGGCAGCAGUAGGGAAUCUUCCGCAAUGGGCGAGAGCCUGACAAAGCAACGCCACGUGAGUGCUGAAGGUCUUCGGAUCGUAAAACUCUCUUAUUGGGGAAGAACAUAUGUGUAAGUAACUGUGCACAUCUUGACGGUACCUAAUCAGAAAGCCACGGCUAACUACGUG